CAAGGAGCCGAUUCCUCCUUCUCUCUCAAACCAGUCGAGACUUCUCUCCCUCUUCUUCAAAAAUCAAUCGCGGUCUCUCUCAAAAUCAGUCGAGACUUCAGCCGCCGCCUCUUCUCCGACCGGCGUCCAACCUCACCGCCGUUCUCUCUCCUCAGCGCAAAGUCCCCAAAAUCGUGCCCUAGUUUCUCUCAAUUCAGAAAUCACCACCUCAGCUCUCCCUCUCGAGUCUCGAUCAGUCGCUAGAGCGCACGGA
rnacentral:lncRNA from 1 species